GAAAUGCGAUAAGUAGUGUGAAUUGCAGAAUUCAGUGAAUCAUCGAAUCUUUGAACGCACAUUGCGCCCUUUGGUAUUCCUUGGGCAUGCCUGUUCGAGCGUCAUCUAAACCUUCAAGCCCUGCUUGGUGUUGGGUGCCUGUCCCGCCUCCGCGCGCGGACUCACCUCAAAUCCAUUGGCGGCCCCCGCGUCGGCCACGAGCGCAGCAGAAACGCGAACUCGUGAGCCCGUCCGGGCGGCUCCCAGAAGCUACACCCACCCAGUUUGACCUCGGAUCAGGUAGGGAUACCCGCUGAACUUAAGC
rnacentral:misc_RNA from 1 species